AAGACCAGUGAUGUCAGCCAGCAGUGUGUGAGUCAGGCAUGAUGAGCACCUGCACCUUGAACUCCGAUGUCCAC
rfam:Fukomys damarensis contig147066, whole genome shotgun sequence.